rnacentral:rRNA from 1 species
UACAGAGGUCUCAAGCGUUUGUUCGGAUUCAUUGGGCGUAAAGGGUGCGUAGGUGGCGGGGUAAGUCAGGUGUGAAAUUUCGGAGCUCAACUCCGAAACUGCAUUUGAUACUGCCUUGCUUGAGGACUGGAGAGGAGACUGGAAUUCACGGUGUAGCAGUGAAAUGCGUAGAUAUCGUGAGGAAGACCAGUGGCGGAAGGCGGGUCUCUGG